rnacentral:lncRNA from 1 species
CCAACCUCAGAGCUUGGAUGUCAGACUUUUGCAAAGUGGACUAAAUCCACAUGCUUAAGGGUAAGGAGCAUUUCUGAAUGAAGCUGAAAAAUGUCAAGACUGGCACAGGAACCAGAGAAAUGCUGACUAUGUAUGAUACUUCCAGUGGGCAGGCUCAUGAUACAGUGAUCACUGAGAAGUGACAUGCUGUAUAUUCCCUCAGAUGUUUAAAUGGAACAUGAAAGAGAAAAACAGCAGCCUAUUCCAUCUUUCAGAAACUCUACCAUCCACUGAAACCAGGACCACAGAGAAGGGAUUCCACAAAAGGUUAUGGAAGUAUGAAGGAUUCUGGGAAGCCUCACUGGGACUCAGUACAAGAUGUCAUAUUUGAACAUUAUUUUCCGCCAUGAGCAAAGGAAAAAAAAGAAACAUGGGGCAGAAAAAGUGUGAUAUACUUGCCAUCCUGAAUCUAAAUCUGGUGAUGAAAUAUAGUGAAGAAGCAUAACUCAAAUACCAAAUAUGAGAGGUCCUGGCAAUGCAAAUUCUCAUGUGCUCAUUUUCAUGUGCUAUGUUCACUAAACUAGGAUUUAUUUAACUCUACAACUGUGAUAGAUACAUUGGGAGACACAAAGAUAAAUCAGACAUAAAUUCCAUCCUCAUGAAGCUUAC